rnacentral:misc_RNA from 1 species
GAAAUGCGAUAAGUAAUGUGAAUUGCAGAAUUCAGUGAAUCAUCGAAUCUUUGAACGCACCUUGCGCUCCUUGGUAUUCCUUGGAGCAUGCCUGUUUGAGUAUCAUGAAAUCUUCACAGUAAAUCUUUUUUUAACUCAAUUGGUUUCUACUUUGGUAUUGGAGGUCUUUGCAGCUUCACACCUGCUCCUCUUUGUUCAUUAGCUGGAUCUCAGUGUUAUGCUUGGUUCCACUCGGCGUGAUAAGUUAUCUAUCGCUGAGGACACUGUAAAAGGUGGCCAAGGUAAAUGCAGAUGAACCGCUUCUAAUAGUCCAUUGACUUGGACAAUACUUUUAUGAUCUGAUCUCAAAUCAGGUAGGACUACCCGCUGAACUUAAGC